GCAUCUGAAUCUUUCCCGCUCAUUGCUGCGAGGUGCAGGUCCGGGGACAUGGGAUGCAAAAGCAACGCAGAGCAAAUCCAGACGGGCCUCCGUUCAAAAGAGUCUUGUCUCUACGACUCCGCAACAUUU
ensembl:snoRNA